rnacentral:rRNA from 1 species
AGAUGCCUUGGUGCCUUCGGGAACGCUGAGACAGGUGCUGCAUGGCUGUCGUCAGCUCGUGUUGUGAAAUGUUGGGUUAAGUCCCGCAACGAGCGCAACCCUUAUCCUUUGUUGCCAGCGAUUCGGUCGGGAACUCAAAGGAGACUGCCGGUGAUAAACCGGAGGAAGGUGGGGAUGACGUCAAGUCAUCAUGGCCCUUACGAGUAGGGCUACACACGUGCUACAAUGGCGCAUACAAAGAGAAGCGACCUCGCGAGAGCAAGCGGACCUCAUAAAGUGCGUCGUAGUCUGGAUCGGAGUCUGCAACUCGACUCCGUGAAGUCGGAAUCGCUAGUAAUCGUGGAUCAGAAUGCCACGGUGAAUACGUUCCCGGGCCUUGUACACACCGCCCGUCACACCAUGGGAGUGGGUUGCAAAAGAAGUAGGUAGCUUAACCUUCGGGAGGGCGCUUACCACUUUGUGAUUCAUGACUGGGGUGAAGUCGUAACAAGGUAGGCGUAGCGAG